rnacentral:lncRNA from 1 species
CACUGGGGCCAUGGCGGCGCAGGACCGGGCUUGGCGCAACGGCACACGAUGCGGUCCUCGAGCCUCCCGGGCGCUCGGUCACCGCGCCGAAACGGGAGCGGGCAGAGUCGCCACCGCCUACCGCCGGGCCGCCUCAGAACAGGAAGCCGUGCGCCGACCGCGGAAGCCCGCCCCCAUGUAGCGAGAAGUCCGCCGACCCCAGGGACAGGAGCGAGGGGCGGGGGGAGGCGGGGAUGGGGGGGAAGCAGGGCGGCCCCGCAGAGGGGAAGCUGCGCCUCCGCAAACGCUCAGAAGCAGCUUCGCCAGACAGCCGCAACGUACAUGUUGACUGCCCGAGGCGGAAGUCGAUCGGCAGAGCGGAAGGGGGACCUGCAGAGGACCUUCCGACAGGUUGGUCAGACCAUGCCCAUGGUUCCUCCUCUCGACUUCACUAUGAAUGCCGCAUCUGUUGAAUGAAUGCAGUUUCUGCUCUUGCUUUUGGAUAGAAGUGAUUGCAAAUCUUAUCAAAAUAAUGAAAAAAAUUACUUUUCAAUUCCUUUUCAACCCUUUUGAGUCUGAGGGGCAGCUGUACAUUAAAUGAAACCAUAUGUAUCAUAAUUUCAUUUUUCCAUCAAAAGAGCUUUAAAGGAAAUUCCCCUUUUUCUCCAUGUUUUCAAUAUUUUUUGUUCCUUUUGUUAAAAUCAGAUUAAUCUCAUGAAACAUCUGAAGCAUUUAAGUCAAUUUAAGAGCUGAGAAAAUAUCAUGCUGCUAGUUCUGAAACGAUCUGAAGUGUGAAUCAGGUGAUCACCAAAUAGGGGAACAACUGAAAAAUGUGAAUGAAAGAAGUAUGUACCUAUACUAUAGUGUCAAAUAUUGUACUGUAAGCUUUAAAAUGAUAAAUUGGAAACUUUCCAAAAG